rnacentral:rRNA from 1 species
UUGCACGCUGGCGGCAGGCCUAACACAUGCCAGUCGAACGGUAACAGGAAGAAGCUUGCUUCUUUGCUGACGAGUGGCGGACGGGUGAGUAAUGUCUGGGAAACUGCCUGAUGGAGGGGGAUAACUACUGGAAACGGUAGCUAAUACCGCAUAACGUCGCAAGACCAAGAGGGGGACCUUCGGGCCUCUUGCCAUCGGAUGUGCCCAGAUGGGAUUAGCUAGUAGGUGGGGUAACGGCUCACCUAGGCGACGAUCCCUAGCUGGUCUGAGAGGAUGACCAGCCACACUGGAACUGAGACACGGUCCAGACUCCUACGGGAGGCAGCAGUGGGGAAUAUUGCACAAUGGGCGCAAGCCUGAUGCAGCCAUGCCGCGUGUAUGAAGAAGGCCUUCGGGUUGUAAAGUACUUUCAGCGGGGAGGAAGGGAGUAAAGUUAAUACCUUUGCUCAUUGACGUUACCCGCAGAAGAAGCACCGGCUAACUCCGUG